rnacentral:rRNA from 1 species
GUAAGAUCCCUGAAAGAUGAUCAGGUAGAUAGGUCUGAGGUGGACGUGUGGUGACACAUGGAGCUGACAGAUACUAAUCGAUCGAGGACUUAACCAA